ACGGGGGAUGCAAGCGUUAUCCGGAUUUAUUGGGUUUAAAGGGUGCGUAGGCGGUUUGAUAAGUCAGCGGUGAAAUAUUUCAGCUUAACUGAAAGGGUGCCGUUGAUACUGUCAGGCUUGAAUAUGGUUGCUGUGGGUGGAAUGUGGGGUGUAGCGGUGAAAUGCUUAGAUAUCACACCGAAUACCGAUUGCGAUGGCAACUCACAAAGACAUUAUCGACGCUGAUGCACGAAAGUGUGGGGAUCGAACAG
rnacentral:rRNA from 1 species